GUGCAUGCUUCAGCAGCACAUAUACUAAAAUUGGAAGGAUACAGAGAUUGUCAUAGGUCCUGCAUAGGAUAACACACAAAUUCAUGAAGUGUUUCAUAUUAAA